rnacentral:rRNA from 1 species
AUUAUGGCUCAGGAUGAACGCUGGCGGCGUGCUUAAUACAUGCAAGUCGAACGAAGCGCCUGCGACGGAUCCCUCGGGGUGAAGAUGCUUGUGACUGAGUGGCGGACGGGUGAGUAACGCGUGGGUAACCUGCCUUAUGCAGGGGGACAACAGUUAGAAAUGACUGCUAAUACCGCAUAAGCGCACGAGACCGCAUGGUCAAGUGUGAAAAGAUUUAUCGGCAUAAGAUGGACCCGCGUCUGAUUAGGUAGUUGGUGAGGUAACGGCCCACCAAGCCGACGACCAGUAGCGGACUUGAGAGAGUGAUCGGCCACAUUGGGACUGAGACACGGCCCAGACUCCUACGGGAGGCAGCAGUAGGGAAUAUUGCACAAUGGGGGAAACCCUGAUGCAAGCGACGCCGCGUGAGUGAUUGAAGUAUUUCGGUACGUAAAGCCCUAUCAGCAGGGAAGAUAAUGACGGUACCUGACUAAGAAGCCCCGGCUAACUACGUGCCAGCAGCCGC